rnacentral:rRNA from 1 species
GAUGAACGCUGGCGGCGUGCCUAAUACAUGCAAGUCGAGCGAACGGACGAGAAGCUUGCUUUUCUGAUGUUAGCGGCGGACGGGUGAGUAACACGUGGAUAACCUACCUAUAAGACUGGGAUAACUUCGGGAAACCGGAGCUAAUACCGGAUAAUAUUUUGAACCGCAUGGUUCAAAAGUGAAAGACGGUCUUGCUGUCACUUAUAGAUGGAUCCGCGCUGCAUUAGCUAGUUGGUAAGGUAACGGCUUACCAAGGCAACGAUGCAUAGCCGACCUGAGAGGGUGAUCGGCCACACUGGAACUGAGACACGGUCCAGACUCCUACGGGAGGCAGCAGUAGGGAAUCUUCCGCAAUGGGGGAAAGCCUGACGGAGCAACGCCGCGUGAGUGAUGAAGGUCUUCGGAUCGUAAAACUCUGUUAUUAGGGAAGAACAUAUGUGUAAGUAACUGUGCACAUCUUGACGGUACCUAAUCAGAAAGCCACGGCUAACUACGUG